AGAGUUUGAUCUUGGCUCAGAACGAACGCUGGCGGCAUGCCUAACACAUGCAAAUCGCACGAUCUCUUCGAAGGCAGUGGCGAACGGGUGAGUAACGCGUGGGAACCUACCCUGGAGUGGGGGAUAACCACUGGAAACGGUGGCUAAUACCGCAUAUGCCCUGCGGGGCAAAGCAGCAAUGCGCUCUUGGAGGGGCCCGCGUCCGAUUAGCUAGUUGGUGGGGUGACGGCCUACCAAGGCUGCGAUCGGUAGCUGGUCUGAGAGGAUGAUCAGCCACACUAGGACUGAGACACGGCCCAGACUCCUACGGGAGGCAGCAGUGGGGAAUAUUGGACAAUGGGCGAAAGCCUGAUCCAGCAAUGCCGCGUGCGUGAUGAAGGCCUUCGGGUUGUAAAGCGCUUUCACCCACGACGAUGAUGACGGUAGUGGGAGAAGAAGCCCCGGCUAACUCCGUGCCAGCAGCCGCGGUAAUACGGAGGGGGCUAGCGUUGUUCGGAAUUACUGGGCGUAAAGGGUGCGUAGGCGGCCUAUCAAGUCGGGCGUGAAAGCCCCGGGCUCAACCCGGGAUGUGCGUCCGAGACUGGUAGGCUUGAGUUCGGGAGAGGUGAGUGGAAUUCCCAGUGUAGAGGUGAAAUUCGUAGAUAUUGGGAAGAACACCGGUGGCGAAGGCGGCUCACUGGACCGACACUGACGCUGAGGCACGAAAGCGUGGGGAGCAAACAGGAUUAGAUACCCUGGUAGUCCACGCCGUAAACGAUGUGCGCUAGACGUGGGGGGUUCGGCCUUCCGUGUCGCAGCUAACGCAUUAAGCGCACCGCCUGGGGAGUACGGCCGCAAGGUUAAAACUCAAAAGAAUUGACGGA
rnacentral:rRNA from 1 species